rnacentral:rRNA from 1 species
AUGACUGAACUAAAAAUACAGAGGUAUGCUGGAACAAAAAAGACUGUUUUCCAGGUUUCGGAGUUCGUUAGAUCCAUGUUAGAGGCCUUUGCAGCCUCCAGAAUAUUUCCCGUGAGACCAACGCCAACUAUCCCAGCCAAUGUCCCAGCUGUAUUUGAAACCCCCAUCACUAUGCCGGCGAACUUUGGAGCAACAUCCAUGUGA